rnacentral:rRNA from 1 species
AUUGAACGCUGGCGGCAGGCCUAACACAUGCAAGUCGAACGGUAGCACAGAGAGCUUGCUCUCGGGUGACGAGUGGCGGACGGGUGAGUAAUGUCUGGGAAACUGCCCGAUGGAGGGGGAUAACUACUGGAAACGGUAGCUAAUACCGCAUAAUGUCGCAAGACCAAAGAGGGGGACCUUCGGGCCUCUUGCCAUCGGAUGUGCCCAGGUGGGAUUAGCUAGUUGGUGAGGUAAUGGCUCACCAAGGCGACGAUCCCUAGCUGGUCUGAGAGGAUGACCAGCCACACUGGAACUGAGACACGGUCCAGACUCCUACGGGAGGCAGCAGUGGGGAAUAUUGCACAAUGGGCGCAAGCCUGAUGCAGCCAUGCCGCGUGUGUGAAGAAGGCCUUCGGGUUGUAAAGCACUUUCAGCGGGGAGGAAGGCAAUACGGUUAAUAACCGUGUUGAUUGACGUUACCCGCAGAAGAAGCACCGGCUAACUCCGUG